CUAGGUAUGGUGAUAUGGUGCCAGAAACAGUUUUUGGUAAAAUUGUUGGUAGUUUAUGUUCACUCAGUGGUGUGCUCGUUAUUGCGCUACCGGUCCCUGUCAUUGUUUCCAAC